rnacentral:rRNA from 1 species
UGGGGAAUUUUGGACAAUGGGCGCAAGCCUGAUCCAGCAAUGCCGCGUGCAGGAUGAAGGCCUUCGGGUUGUAAACUGCUUUUGUACGGAACGAAACGGUCUUUUCUAAUACAGAAGGCUAAUGACGGUACCGUAAGAAUAAGCACCGGCUAACUACGUGCCAGCAGCCGCGGUAAUACGUAGGGUGCGAGCGUUAAUCGGAAUUACUGGGCGUAAAGCGUGCGCAGGCGGUUUUGUAAGACAGAGGUGAAAUCCCCGGGCUCAACCUGGGAACUGCAUUUGUGACUGUAUAGCUAGAGUACGGCAGAGGGAGGUGGAAUUCCGCGUGUAGCAGUGAAAUGCGUAGAUAUGCGGAGGAACACCGAUGGCGAAGGCAGCCUCCUGGGCCAGUACUGACGCUCAUGCACGAAAGCGUGGGGAGCAAACA